rnacentral:rRNA from 1 species
AUUACCGAGUUUACAACUCCCAAACCCCUGUGAACAUACCUAUCGUUGCUUCGGCGGGUCUCGCCCCGGCGCCCUCGGGCCCGGACUCAGGCGCCCGCCGGAGGACCUAAACUCUUGUCUUUAUGAGUAUCUUCUGAGUGACACAAGUAAAUAAAUCAAAACUUUCAACAACGGAUCUCUUGGUUCUGGCAUCGAUGAAGAACGCAGCGAAAUGCGAUAAGUAAUGUGAAUUGCAGAAUUCCGUGAAUCAUCGAAUCUUUGAACGCACAUUGCGCCCGCUAGUAUUCUGGCGGGCAUGCCUGUUCGAGCGUCAUUUCAACCCUCAAGCCCCCCGGGCUUGGUGUUGGGGUUCGGCCCGCCCCUAGCGGCGCGCCGUCCCCGAAAUCUAGUGGCGGUCUCGCGAUAGCCUCCUCUGCGUAGUAGCAAUAUCUCGCACUGGGACUGAGCAAGGCCACGCCGUUAAACCCCCCACUUCUGAAGGUUGACCUCGGAUCAGGUAGGAAUACCCGCUGAACUUAAGCAUAUCAAUAGCCG